GCUGCUCCGAGAGCAUUGCAGAUGUGGCUGCUGUGUCUCAUGUGUGUCAGUAGGUGGCAGAGAGGAGAAAGGCUGUGUCUGAGAAAGGCUCAGUGUUCUGACCUAUGGAAAUCUGAAUGAUUAGUAGUCUAACAUU